CACGGUCAAAGUUUCUGCCCAGUAUGAAUAUGAUGAAACAAAGGACACUUGUCUUAUCGAAAUAGUAACAUUGAAAUAUUAAACAAAAUAGAGGCAGAAUAUUCCCAUUAAUGAAGUGCUGAAGUAAUACGAUACAAUGGUUUUACCUUAUUAAUAUUAUAGCAGGUCUCAUAACAUGACAGGGAGUGUAUGUUCAAAAAUGUAAUCAUUUUUAAUACUAUAAUCAAUGUAUAUUUUAAAUAACACCCAUUUGUAACAAAUUUGGUGAGUCAACCUCAUUGAUUUUAAGUUUUUUUCCCCCCUUCUUUUUAUUAUUAUUGUAAAUUAACUUUGUACACAAAUGAAACAACUUAAUUGAGCCACUGAGAACAAGAGUGGGCCAACUCAAUUUUUGUCCAUUUUUAAUGACAGUAAGUACAGAUAAAUAUUGAUCUAAUGUAAGUUAGUUAGUUCCAAUUUUGAUAUAUAGGUGGCAGUCCAUUACUGCUCUCAGCACUUUUCCUGAUUCAACAGUGCAACACAGGCCUCACUCCCAUUUUCAAAAUGGCCACACACAUGAAAACAGGGUUCACCUGGCAAAAACAUCCCAGCAAAUGAGGUUUAGAAACUGAUGUAGACUCGGAAAACAACCGAGAUGUUACUGACAGGGAUCCAAACAAUGACAGUUAAGAUGAUGACAGCACCUCAGUUGUGAAUAGAAGUCAUGGACCUAAAACCCAUCCCUAUAAUCUGAAUAACCAGUAGAUGCAGCGUCAUAUCAUGAAGUGAUGUCAUGGGCAUGGACACGAGAGAGCUUGAGCAUGACAUCAUGACAUUCGACAUACGAGCUAGUGUGAGUGCGCUUUACUUUCAUUACAAAUGACACGCAUGCUAUUUGUUUUUGUAAUUGUGUUAGACAAAGGCAGUUGGCCGUGUUCUUCCUGGUCUUGUGGCUUCUUUUAGUUCACCUGUCACAGCUGAGCUAUGGAACAUGCAU